UCAAAUAAAAAAUAUGUCAAACUUUAUUAAAUUUUGGUGUUUACUCGUAUUUAUACCAAUUAGUUCUUUAAGUUUGAAUUUAACAAUACCGCCCAUAAAUUGUGAGGGCAAUAUUACUUGUGGAAAUGGGGAGCGGCACUAUAUGUGUAUGACGCCACAGACGCAGUGUAAGCCAUUUGAGCUACUCAAAAUGAACGAGGAUAAAAUUUAUAACUUUUUACUGGGACACAAUGGCUUACGUAAUCGCGUAGCCAAGCAAUAUCAAAUUGCGAAUAUGAAUAUAGUGCAUUGGAGCAUUAAAUUGCAGUGGAGAGCUGAAAUCUUUCUAAAAAGAUGUAAAGUGGAACCGGAUACCUGUCAAGAUAAUGGUCCCCUCGAAACACAAAUAAAUGAGAAUUAUCUCUUUCAUCAUGGCUUAAUCGGCGAAAGUUGGCCAGCGCAUCUUGUACGUCAAUGGUUUAAUGAGUUUGGAUAUCGUGAAGAAUGGCAGGAUUUUGCUGCACGAAGAAAAAUGGGCAUUGUGGGCAAUUUUUCGAAUUUAAUUUAUCCUUUGGUGAAAUUAAUUGGCUGUAAUGGAGCGCAUCUGCCCACUGGUUAUUUAUUCGUUUGUUUUUACUGGCCGCGCACACUUGAGACGUACGAGGAUGGUUUUCGAUAUGGUGAGCCUUGUGCGCAAUGCGAUCCCAAGGUACCGGCUUGUUCACGUGUCUUUCCUGGCUUAUGUGGCGUAGAUAUGGAAGUUUCUAACAGCGCAAGUAUAUUUCAAGAAGAUCUCUGCUGUCGGUGAAACUCAUAGUUCCAUAAUAGCUUCGCAAAGACUUGCUCUCGAAAGCACCUAAAGCCGAAAAGAUGAAAUUUGAAGGUUGUCAACAAGAGCUUUGAUUUUGUUCGCCGAGAGAGCACUUUACUUUUUCAAUAACAUUUUUUUCCAAAAGUUGUAACGCUCCAAGAUUGAAAGAAAUUGAAUUGCACGUUUUAUUUUAUCUUAUCCUCACACACUACCAAACUCAGCGUGGAGAAAGCGGAAACAAUGGUUGUGUGCUGAUUGAAGACGAACGCACUAGAUAGAGAGUCUGAAACCUCCUUUGGCUAGGAUGGAUGCUUCCCGAUUCUGAUGGAGAUUUUAAUAUUGUUGCGAAAAUGCGAG
rnacentral:misc_RNA from 1 species